rnacentral:SRP_RNA from 2 species
GGAAGCUGGUGGUGGACGAACCACUCGCCAAUCGGGUCAGGUCCGGAAGGAAGCAGCCCUAACGAAUCUGGGUCGGGUCACCGUGCCAGUUUCCCAC